GGCUGGGUUGCAUGGAGGUUGGAAGAAGAAGGGGCUCUCUAAAAGGCAAAUGCUGUGAGCCAGGGCCUCUGCCCAUUAGGUGACUCUCAAAUGGGAGCAGAACAAAAUACUCCAACGUGCCCCAAACUAUGUUUUAGAGUAAAAAACUCCUCCAAAGGCAUGUAUAGGUCUGUCUGGAACGUGCAGCUAGCAAAGUUUAACAUCCAAAGCCUCAAGCAGUAUUCUCCGUAGUCUUUAAUUAGUAUGCGGUGAAAAAACAAAGACUUGAAUGCUUCCAACAAAAUUGCUUUGAAACCAUUUUAGGUUCAUAGCAAAAUUGCCGGCGUCCAGCACCGGAGCGUGGCC